AUGGUAUUUAAUGUAUUCAAGCAUGAAUUUGAAAAUCAAAUCUCAUCAUUGGGCAGUGUGAGAUCAAACACACGCUCAGUAUGGUGUAAAAAAUCACUCUACAUGUAUGCAAAUGCAAAUAUUGCCAUACAUCUGUGUGAACCGACUGAGAUACACUGUUUUCCAUACAAUGAAGGUCCAUCCUCUCUUUCUUUCCAUGUCUAUCUCGCUCUCUUUCACAGGUACAGGUAUUAUUCUAGCUCUGCCAAGAAAAUAAACGGCCUUGUCUAAGCCACCAGAGACUGCUUUCUCACAGAGGCGACAUCAAGGGCAGACUCACAAAUAAGCACAAACAUACACACACACAAACCCACUUGCAAUGUUAAAGCAUAAAAAGCGAUCCUUCUCCUAGCAGCCUCUUUGGGCAAAAGCCUGAGCAUCUAAUCUUUGUGAGUAUUGUUAUCAAUUGCCAGUCACAAUUAAAUCCAUAAUCAGCUCUGCCCAAGGUGCUCUGCCAUAAUGACACCAAAAUCAAUCAUGAUUUCUGCUUAUCACCUCAUGCCCACAUCAGCCCACUUUAAAGACCCUGUGAAAUCAAAAAUAUUUCUGGAAAACUUAACAAAAAUAUUGAUGACUCAUCCUGUACUACACUGAGCUUUGACCAAUCAGAUUCUCGCUCGAAUGAGAAUGUCCCUCCCACAAUAUUGUUUCCAUUUGCAAUUAGCAAAUCAUAAUUCAUAACUAAAUCUUAUUGGCGAUUUAAACAUGCUUUAAAAUACAUAGAACAAGAUCUGAUGCAACACUGAAACAGUCUGCUUUUCUGAACAUGUGUUGUGUUGAUGUGAUAUGUUAUGGCAGGCAGAAAAAGAAAAACAAAACUAGCAUCAGACAAAAUCAUAGAAAAACCUAAUUUCUAUGAGGAACAACAACAAUAAUUGUUGUCAGGCAGAAACCUCUUCAAAAUUCAACAAUGGACUCACAGUUGUAAAUAGUACAUCAGGAUAUGUUAUACAUAAUACAUUUCAUCUAACAUCAUUUUGCAUUUUCACAUUCACUCCAUACCCUGUAUAUUUAACCACAAAAAAAAAAAAAUGCUAACAAUAAAAUUAGUUUGAAUAAAAGUAGGAAUAACA
ensembl:lncRNA